UAAUGGAAGGCUAAAGCUGACCGGAUAAGUUCACUCUGAAGGCGGUGGUACAUUAAUGAAAUCUGCAGGAGUAAUUGGAUAGCAUAUGAUUCUUUAUGGAGGCUGGUGAAAAAUUAGUGGCCCCCUUAGCAAAAAGCAUUCGCAGCAAACAAAGCUGCAUUUUUUAAUGAAAAAUUACCUGGGAUCUGCAUGAAUUGUUCAGAGAUUAUUUCUGCCUUCAGAAUGUCAGCUAUAUCUUGGAGUGAUCAAAGGGCAGUCUUCAUAAUGUGUGCUGGUUACCCAUCCAUUGACAAUCGCCUGUGCGAUACCCUACAGACAAUAAAAGCCAAUAUCUCGCCUCACUUCUCCGAGAGUUAUUGAUGGUGCAUCACAGCAAAGCCCCCAAAGAGAGGUCAUGGUCGACAGUACAUCCAGAACUACUGUUCAUCCAACAAUCGGACAUCCCACAGGCUCUGUCUCACUACUAAGGGAGAGACAGAUAUCACUCCUGCCACAGCGACAGGGAAGACAACAGUCGCUAUUUAGAUGUUAGUCAGUCUGAAGCACUGCCUUUUAUUUCGAGUUCCCUGAUUCAAGAACUGGUAGCAGGCUCUGUCUCGCUGUCUGUCUCGAAGAAGCGAGAAUACAUACACGCCAGCCAGCCUGAAGAGGCAACGGAGACACGAGAAUAGGAAGAAUUCAUCUGUUUUGCUGAUGAGCUGGGAGAAGUCAGCUACAUUCCUAGGGUAUUUCUUUUCCACCCUAUCUAAAUUUGCAUUACAAAUAUACUACUUCAGACCGUCCAAACUGUACCGUGGAGGGGUUUACCUUCAGUGGAACAUUGUCGAUAACCUGUAAAGUCCGUGAAACCAACCACGUGUGCUCUUUCUCUCCCGGAGAUGCAAUUAGAAUAUUAUCUAGCUGUUGCAAAAUACUGCUACUGGUAUCUGCCAAGACAACACAGGUGAAUACUUUCACUAUACAUCGACGGAAAAUAGAGGGCUGUUAUGGGAAUCCUGAGAAUCUUUGACCAAGAAUACUGUUGUCUCUGGAUGGUAAAAGCUAACUUAUCCUAUCAGGACAUACUGGAGCUGACCAAAAACCAUUCACCAUAUCUAAGACAGUAAAAGUCCUGUUCCGACCUCUGGCCAUUCAGGUGGGUUUGCCACCACAGGAUAUUCCCAAGUGACAUAUUUGUUCAUAGAGUUGUAAUCAAUGCGUUGCUGGUGGGACCUGUCUGGCUUAUGUAUCAGACAGACUGGAGAAUUCGUAUGGGAGAUGGUUGGCUGGUUCACUCCUUGUCUCCAUAAGACCAUUAGACAUAGGAGCAGAAUUAAGCUAUCUGGCCCAUUGAGUCUGCUCCACCAUUCAAUUAUGGCUGAUCCUUUUUUGUAUCUCCUCCUCAACCCCAGUUCCCAGCCUUUUCCCCAUAACCUUUGAUGCCAUGUCCAAUCAAGAACCUAUCAAUCUUUGCCUUAAAUAUGCAGCUGCAUGUGGCAACAAAUUCACCACCCUUUGGCUAAAGAAAUUACUUCGUAUCUCUGUUUUGAAAGGAUGCCUUUCUGUGCUGAGGCUGUGCCCUCUUGUCCUAGACUCUCCCACCAUGGGAAACCUCCUUUCCAAAUCUACUCUGUCCAGGCCUUUCAACAUUCAAAAGGUUUCAAUGAGAUCCCUCCUCAUCCUUCUGAAUUCCAGUGACUACAGACCCAGAGCCAUCAAACAGUCUUCGUAUGAUAACCCUUUCAUUCCUGGAAUUAUCCUUGUGAACCUCCUUUGGACCCUCUCCAAUGCCAGCACAUCUUUUCUAAUAUGAGGGGCCCAAAACUGUUCACAAUACUCAAGGUGAGGCCUCACCAGUGCCUUAUCAAGCCUCAGCAUCACAUCCUUGCUCUUGUAUUCUAGUCCUUUUGAAAUGAAUGCUAACAUGGCAUGUUCUGCAUAAAGACCUGUUUAAAAAGUAGUCCGCUGUUUAUUUCUAUUACCAAAGUGCAUGACUGUGCAUUUUCAUUUGCCACUUUCUUGCCCAUUCUCCUAAUCUGUCUGUUCUUCUGCAGCCAUCUUGUUUCCUCGACACUACUUGCCCCUCCACCAAUUUUUGUAUCAUCUACAAACUUGGCAAUAAAGCCAACUAUUCCAUCAUCUAAAUCAUUUAUAUACAGCAUAAAAAGAAGUGGUCCCAACACUGAUCCCUGCAGAACACCACUAGUCACUGGCAACAAACCAGAAAAGGAUCCUUUUGUUCUCACUCGCUGCAUCCUACCAAUCAGCCAGUGCUCUAAUCAUGUUAGUAACUUUCCUGUAAUACCACAGGCUUUUAACUUGGCAAGCAGCCUCAUGUGUGGCACCUUGUCAAAGGCCUUCUGAAAGUCCAAAUAUAUGACAUCCGUUGCAUCCCCUUUAUCUAUCCUACUUACCUCUGUAGCUCUAUGACCAUUUUUAUGACUGCAGCCUCUGCUUCUAAGUUAAUGGGGCACUGACUAUGGGAUGGGUGUGAUGGACCUUCUAUCUGAACGAGUGUUA